AACGAACGCUGGCGGCAUGCCUAACACAUGCAAGUCGAACGAGACCUCCGGGUCUAGUGGCGCACGGGUGCGUAACGUGUGGGAACCUGCCCUUAGGUUCGGAAUAACUCCCCGAAAGGGGUGCUAAUACCGGAUAAUGUCUUCGGACCAAAGAUUUAUCGCCUUUGGAUGGGCCCGCGUUGGAUUAGCUAGUUGGUAGGGUAAAAGCCUACCAAGGCGACGAUCCAAAGCUGGUCUGAGAGGAUGAUCAGCCACACUGGGACUGAGACACGGCUCAGACUCCUACGGGAGGCAGCAGUGGGGAGUAUUGGACGAUGGGCGAAAGCCUGAUCCAGCAAUGCGGGGUGAGUGAUGAAGGCGUUAGGGUUGUAAAGCUCUUUUACCCGGGAUGAUAGUGACGGUACCGGGAGAAUAAGCGCCGGCUAACUCCGUG
rnacentral:rRNA from 1 species